rnacentral:rRNA from 1 species
CCUACGGGGGGCUGCGGUGAGGAAUAUUGGUCAAUGGACGCAAGUCUGAACCAGCCAUGCCGCGUGCAGGAAGACGGCUCUAUGAGUUGUAAACUGCUUUUUUACGGGAGUAAACGCAGAUACGUUUCUCUGUCUUAAAUUAUCGUACGAAUAAGGAUCGGCUAACUCCGUUCCAGCAGCCGCGGUAAUACGGAGGAUUCAAGCGUUAUCCGGAUUUAUGGGGUUUAAAGGGUGCGUAGGCGGUCGGUUAAGUUAGAGGUGAAAACCCGAGGCUCAACCUCGGAAUUGCCUCUGAUACUGGUCGGCUAGAGAGUAGUUGAGGUAGGCGGAAUGCAUGGUGUAGCGGUGAAAUGCUUAGAGAUCAUACAGAACACCGAUUGCGAAGGCAGCUUACUAAGCUACUUCUGACGUUGAGGCACGAAAGCGUGGGUAGCAAACAGGAUUAGAUACCCUUGUAGUC